CGUAGGGUGCGAGCGUUGUCCGGAAUUAUUGGGCGUAAAGGGCUCGUAGGCGGUUUGUCGCGUCGGGAGUGAAAACCUCGGGCUUAACUCGGGGCUUGCUUUCGAUACGGGCAGACUGGAGGUAUGCAGGGGAGAACGGAAUUCCUGGUGUAGCGGUGAAAUGCGCAGAUAUCAGGAGGAACACCGGUGGCGAAGGCGGUUCUCUGGGCAUUACCUGACGCUGAGGAGCGAAAGUGUGGGGAGCGAACAGGAUUAGAUACCCUGGUAGUCCACACCGUAAACGUUGGGCGCUAGGUGUGGGAUCCAUUCCACGGGUUCCGUGCCGCAGCUAACGCAUUAAGCGCCCCGCCUGGGGAGUACGGCCGCAAGGCUA
rnacentral:rRNA from 1 species